CUACGGGAGGCAGCAGUGGGGAAUCUUAGACAAUGGGGGCAACCCUGAUCUAGCCAUGCCGCGUGAGUGAUGAAGGCCUUAGGGUCGUAAAGCUCUUUCGCCUGUGAAGAUAAUGACUGUAGCAGGUAAAGAAACCCCGGCUAACUCCGUGCCAGCAGCCGCGGUAAUACGGAGGGGGUUAGCGUUGUUCGGAAUUACUGGGCGUAAAGCGCACGUAGGCGGACUGGAAAGUUGGGGGUGAAAUCCCGGGGCUCAACCUCGGAACUGCCUCCAAAACUACUAGUCUAGAGUUCGAGAGAGGUGAGUGGAAUUCCGAGUGUAGAGGUGAAAUUCGUAGAUAUUCGGAGGAACACCAGUGGCGAAGGCGGCUCACUGGCUCGAUACUGACGCUGAGGUGCGAAAGUGUGGGGAGCAAACAGGAUUAGAUACCCUGGUAGUCCACACCGUAAACGAUGAAUGCCAGUCGUCGGCAAGCAUGCUUGUCGGUGACACACCUAACGGAUUAAUCAUUCCGCCUGGGGAGUACGGUCGCAAGAUUAAUACUCAAAGGAAUUGACGG
rnacentral:rRNA from 1 species